GACAGUUUGGCCGAGUGGUCUAAGGCGCUGGCUUUAGACGCCAGUACGAAAGGGCGUGGGUCCGAACACCACAGCUGUAA
rnacentral:tRNA from 1 species